rnacentral:rRNA from 1 species
CCUACGGGAGGCAGCAGUAGGGAAUAUUGCUCAAUGGGGGAAACCCUGAAGCAGCAACGCCGCGUGGAGGAUGAAGGUUUUCGGAUUGUAAACUCCUUUUGUUAGAGAAGAUAAUGACGGUAUCUAACGAAUAAGCACCGGCUAAAGCCGUGCCAGCAGCCGCGGUAAUACGGAGGGUGCAAGCGUUACUCGGAAUCACUGGGCGUAAAGAGCGCGUAGGGGGGUUAGCAAGUCAGAUGGGAAAUCCUAGGGCUUAACCAUAGAACUGCAGUUGAAACUGGGAUUCUAGAGUAUGGGAGAGGUAGGUGGAAUUCGUGGUGUAGGGGUAAAAUCCGUAGAGAUCAAGAGGAAUACUGAUUGCGAAGGCGACCUGCUAGAACAUAACUGACGCUGAUGCGCGAAAGCGUGGGGAGCAAACAGGAUUAGAUACCCCUGUAGUC